rnacentral:siRNA from 1 species
GACAUUCCUCCUCAUUCUCCUA